GAGGAAGGAUGAUUGUUGCCAACUGCUAUUUGCAAUGAAUGAAUUUGCGUUCAAUGUGUAUGGGGGAGGGGGAUAUAAUGCAAUCUGCUCACACUUCUGGGUCAGUAAAUGAGGCUACAAUUAACUGGACACUCAAAUUGUGCUGAAUUGAAAAUGAGUUUUCAAGACAUCAAGACAAUUACAUCUUCGGAAAUGUCUGCAUUCAAGUUCCUCCAGAGUUAUCAAGCAAUUCGACGCAAGACUCCAGCAUGUCGCAUUUGCAACCAAGAAAUGGCAUGGGUCACCCUUAAUACCACAUUAGGACGUACGAGUACAUGGCGAUGUUCAUCUCAUCAAAGUGUCACCAUGAGUCCAAGGUUUAAAUCCUUCUGGGCAAAAUCCAAGUUGCCAUUGAGUGCAUUAGUGAAUUUGGCGUGGAUGUGGGCCAAUAAACUUCCUAUUGUAACCAUAACUGACUCCUUCCCAGUGUCAUCAUGAACCACCAUACAAUGGGCAAGCUAUUUCCAGGAUGUUUGUUCCAAUUGGCUUGUCCAAAACCACACCCUCAUUGGGGGCCCAGGAGUUAUUGUACAGGUCAAAUUUUCAUUCAGGAAGAUCUAUUUCUUGGAUAAAUUAGAAUGAUUGCUUCAGCAACUUCCACAGAUUGAUGAGUCUGUAAUUGCCAAAAGGAAAUACAAUCGAGGUCGCAUGGUUCCAGAACGAUGGAUAUUUGGGGGUUAUUGUCCCACAACAAAAGAAGGAUUUUUGGUGAUUGUUCCAAACCGAAGUGCUGCCUCAUUGCUGCAAAUCAUUUUUUUGCGGCCAAUAUUGCUCCUGGUUCAAUUAUUCACAGUGAUAAGUAGCCUGCGUAUAAUCAAAUUGAGAACAUUUUGGUUCAACCCCAAUAUCAGCAUCUUACUGUGAACCAUAGCAAGAAUUUGGUGGACCCAACUACAGGUGCUUGCACGAAUUCUGUCGAACUAUAUUUUUUUUUUUUGCGGACUUCCUUACCGCUACCGGGAUUGGAAUCCCAGCAGUUGAAGACGAGAACAUUAUUUAUUAUACUUGACUUUUAUUUAUAUAUAUUAUUUGAUCGACCAACGAAUUGGAGUUGGCUGAUCUGGCUAAUCCUUGAAUAUAAGGUUGAUCCGGAAUUUUAGUCAAAAACUUGUCCAAGUCUGACUUAAAUCUUGCUACUGGAUCAACCCCUACAUAAACCCUACGAAUAUUUGAGGGCAGCAAAUUGAACAAUGAAGGAGCCCGAGAAAGAAGAGAGUUAUAAAGUGUUACUGCCGGCGCCGGGGUUUGAACCCACGACACUUAGGGAGAGGAUUAUAGCCUUGUUCACGCUGCCUCUUAGACCGCUCGGCUACACCAGCUCUAUAAUGGAAGUACGUAAAAUCAAGAU